AGAGUUUUAUCCUGGCUCAGAUUGAACGCUGGCGGCAGGCCUAACACAUGCAAGUCGAGCGGCAGCGGAAGGAAGCUUGCUUCCUUGCCGGCGAGCGGCGGACGGGUGAGUAAGGUAUGGGGAUCUGGCCGAAGGCGGGGGAUAACCACUGGAAACGGUGGCUAAUACCGCAUAAUCUCUAAGGAGCAAAGUGGGGGACCAUUAUGGCCUCACACCUUCGGAUGAACCCAUAUGAGAUUAGCUAGUAGGUGGGGUAAAGGCUCACCUAGGCGACGAUCUCUAGCUGGUCUGAGAGGAUGAUCAGCCACACUGGGACUGAGACACGGCCCAGACUCCUACGGGAGGCAGCAGUGGGGAAUAUUGCACAAUGGGCGCAAGCCUGAUGCAGCCAUGCCGCGUGUAUGAAGAAGGCCUUCGGGUUGUAAAGUACUUUCAGUCGUGAGGAAGGUGUUAAGGUUAAUAGCCUUAGCAAUUGACGUUAGCGACAGAAGAAGCACCGGCUAACUCCGUGCCAGCAGCCGCGGUAAUACGGAGGGUGCGAGCGUUAAUCGAAAUUACUGGGCGUAAAGGGCACGCAGGCGGUUAAUUAAGUUGGAUGUGAAAUCCCCGGGCUUAACCUGGGAAUGGCAUUCAAGACUGGUUAGCUAGAGUCUUGUAGAGGGGGGUAGAAUUCCAUGUGUAGCGGUGAAAUGCGUAGAGAUGUGGAGGAAUACCGGUGGCGAAGGCGGCUCCCUGGACAAAGACUGACGCUCAUGUGCGAAAGCGUGGGGAGCAAACAGGAUUAGAUACCCUGGUAGUCCACGCUGUAAACGAUGUCGAUUUGGAGGUUGUGGUCUAGAACUGUGGCCUCCGGAGCUAACGCGUUAAAUCGACCGCCUGGGGGAGUACGGCCGCAAGGUAAAACUCAAAUGAAUUGACGGGGGCCCGCACAGCGGGUGGAGCAUGUGGUUUAAUUCGAUGCACGCGAGAACCUUACCUACUCUUGACAUCCAGCGAGCCUUUAGAGAUAGAGGUGUGCCUUCGGGAGCGCUGAGACAGGUGCUGCAUGGCUGUCGUCAGCUCGUGUUGUGAAAUGUUGGGUUAAGUCCCGCAACGAGCGCAACCCUUAUCCUUUGUUGCCAGCGAUUCGGUCGGGAACUCAAAGGAGACUGCCGGUGAUAAACCGGAGGAAGGUGGGGAUGACGUCAAGUCAUCAUGGCCCUUACGAGUAGGGCUACACACGUGCUACAAUGGCGUAUACAAAGAGAAGCGACCUCGCGAGAGCAAGCGGACCUCAUAAAGUACGUCGUAGUCCGGAUUGGAGUCUGCAACUCGACUCCAUGAAGUCGGAAUCGCUAGUAAUCGUAGAUCAGAAUGCUACGGUGAAUACGUUCCCGGGCCUUGUACACACCGCCCGUCACACCAUGGGAGUGGGUUGCAAAAGAAGUAGGUAGCUUAACCUUCGGGAGGGCGCUUACCACUUUGUGAUUCAUGACUGGGGUGAAGUCGUAACAAGGUAACCGUAGGGGAACCUGCGGCUGGAUCACCU
rnacentral:rRNA from 1 species